ACAACACCUAGGAGGAUCCUGAGUACGGCGGAACACGAGAAAUUCCGUCGGAAUCCGCGGGGACCAUCCCGCAAGGCUAAAUACUCCCUAGUGACCGAUAGUGAACCAGUACCGUGAGGGAAAGGUGAAAAGCACCCCGGAAGGGGAGUGAAAUAGAUCCUGAAACCGUGUGCCUACAACAAGUCAAAGCUCGUUAAUGAGUGAUGGCGUGCCUUUUGUAGAAUGAACCGGCGAGUUA
rnacentral:rRNA from 1 species